CGCCUCCUCGCCGAAUGCCCCACGCGCCCCACGCCGCAUCUUCGCGCACUUGACAGUUGGUUCCGUUAAGCGCACGCGCCCCUUUAAAGCAUCUGCCGCCCUGUACCCCACCUCCUCCUGCCUUUUGAUUGGCUGGCGGAGCCGGUGCUCUGCGGUCCUGGCAGCUGCGACUCUAAAGCGCCGCGGUUGCUCCGGCUGCCGAGGGCGGGGGACCCCGGCUCCCUCCCUGCGCCGGCCGGAUGCACAGCAACACCUGCCGCUCGGACACCGGCACCAGGCGAGGGAGACACGGGGGCCUCAUCCUCCUCUGUGGCGGCGGCGGCGGCAGCCCGGAGAGCAGGAGGCCGGGAACAAAGGCUCCGCGCCAGCCCCUUCGGCUCCACCUGCCUUCCGCGGCGAUGGCUUCCCUCAGCCUUGGGGGGCUGAACGUCUCGGCCCGUAGGAAGAGCGUCCAGUCCCGCAACGCGGCGGUGGAGAGGAGGAACCUGAUCACCGUCUGCAGGUUGUCCACGAAGCACUGGAUAAAGCAAGACAAGGUCGCACCUGUAUUGUAAUAGCUCAUCACCUGUCCAGAAUGCUGACAAGAUAGCAGUAAUCCAGAAUGGAAGGAUUGUAGAACAAGGAACACAUCAGCAACUCUUGGUUGAAAGAGGAAAGGACUGUAAACAAGAGGUCCUGGAAAGCCAAGAAACACUGAGCCAAGCAUUAUACCAAAGUCCUCAAUUAUUUCAUCAUCUAAACAUUUAGGCCCGCAGCUCCAGCCACUAAGAAUUCUGUUACUAGCUCUGUCACGGUCUUAACCUGUUGUCACAACUUGGCCCUGUUUCCCUCUGGAUGGACAUAAGUUUGUUAUGAAUGAACCCCACUCCUAAAUCCCAUCUGCUUCUAAGCCCCCCUGGGUUAGGUAUUGUCUGAUCACUGUUCCCAGCUCUGGGUCGCUCAGGCACACUGCCUGGUACAGACCUUGUACAGGUCACUCUUCCUGGGCAGGGGGACUGCAAUCUGGUUACCUAAACCCCAGAACCAAUGCCCCAGCUCUCCCAAGCCCUCUGUUGCCUUCUCUGAGUGCUCUGGUUUUCUAGUUAUGCCCUGCAGGGACAACCUGGCAGCAAAGCAAUGAACACAGGCUUAGCAAAAGAAUUCUUAACCACAACCACUUUAUUCUUAAAGCACAAGCAAAUGACAGAUCUAUGGAUAUCAACAAACAGUCCUGAAUGCAAUCCCCCUGGUCCAAUCUCACCCUGUCUGGGAGUCCUGGUUCUGGUCAGUGUCCUCAAGCAGAUACUCUCCUGCCAUCACUCUCUCCAGCAAGUUCUGCUUACAGGUGCCAAUGGUAUGGUCCUCUGUUAGCAAAGCAGCCACCUUUUCAAAAUAGUCUCUAUCCCAUUUCUAGCCAUGUGUUUUGGCUGAUGAGGUUCCCAGCUUCAUUCCCCACUCCUCCCCCAACUUGUGUAGAUAGUCAAUGGCCUUGCUGGUAAAAACCCAUUUUUCCAGAAAGGAAAAGUCAUUCAACAUUGAUGGCUCACACUGUUUACUCUUUUGAGGUGUCCCAUAACCUAGCACGAGCACAGAAUGUCUACAACAGCCUGAUCUUGUCAAGAUUAGAUUGGUUUUCAACACCAGCUGGAUUUAACCCAAUAUGGAGGUUACAAUGCAGUAAAGGUUACAAUCACAAAAAGAUUCACAAAACAUGAAGUUUACAAUUUGGCCAGGAUAAACACUCAAUCUGUUACACCUAGUAUUCUAGCAAUUGUAGUGUCUGCUUGUACACAACACAUGGGUAUGAACAUAUCACGGUGGUCUAACGCAUAGGGCACUGAACUGCAAGUAAGAAGGACUUGGGUUCUGCUCCUGCCUGAUUGUUGAUCUGCUGUAUAAAUUUUGGCAAGUCAUACACCUCUCUUUCUACUCAAACAUUUUGUCUGUUUUGAUUAACUCCUCAGAGCAGGGAUAGUCUCUUAUGUUUAUUUUAGAGCACUUAGGAAAGUUGGCUAUUAAAGAGUAAGUGUCAAUGUUAACUAAAGUGAUGCUAACUGUACCAUUGUAACAUGGUACCUUCCACAAUGAGGUUUUGAUCUCAGUGAGAAUUCUAGUUGUUCUACUUAUUGUUUGUAUUACAACUAGAAUAAUUCCUGACUUCUCCAGGGGCCCCAAUACCUCCAGAAGGGCAAACAGUGGGGAUUUUAGAAUCUGUGUUAAGUCAGUUUCAUCAUCUGUAUACAAGAAUCUCCCCUUUUGGAAAGUUUGGUUGCUAUGCAUCAAGCAGUAUAGAUAUAAACCAAUCAACCGCCAUGAAACAAACUUUUUGGAUUGUUUUAUUUCUAAGAAGAAAUUACAAAGCUUAUAAAAAAAAGUCUUCUUUAAAAUCCAAAGAAAGCUUAAAAUCC